GACGAACGCUGGCGGCGUGCCUAACACAUGCAAGUCGAGCGGGGUUGAAGCGAGAGGUAACUCGAGCUUCUACCUAGCGGCGGACGGGUGAGUAACGCGUGGGCAACCUGCCUCAAGGUUUGGGAUAACAGCCCGAAAGGGCUGCUAAUACCGGAUAUGCCUAUGGCCUCGCAUGGGGCUAUGAGCAAAGGGGAAACCCGCCUUGAGAUGGGCCCGCGUCCCAUCAGCUAGUUGGUGAGGUAACAGCUCACCAAGGCGACGACGGGUAGCCGGCCUGAGAGGGUGACCGGCCACACUGGGACUGAGACACGGCCCAGACUCCUACGGGGGGCAGCAGUGGGGGAUCUUGCACAAUGGGCGAAAGCCUGAUGCAGCGACGCCGCGUGAGCGAAGAAGGCCUCGGUUGUAAGCUCUGUCUGGAGGGACGGAACAAAAUAGACGGUACCGUCCGGACGGAAGGACCACGGCUAACUACGUGCCAGCAGCCGCGGUAACAUACUCGUA
rnacentral:rRNA from 1 species